rnacentral:rRNA from 1 species
AUUAGCCAUGCAUGUCUCAGUACAAGCCGAAUUAAGGUGAAACCGCGAAAGGCUCAUUAAAUCAGUUAUGGUUCCUUAGAUCGUACCCACAUUUACUUGGAUAACUGUGGUAAUUCUAGAGCUAAUACAUGCAAACAGAGCUCCGACCGGAGACGGAAGGAGCGCUUUUAUUAGAUCAAAACCGAUCGGUGGCGGGUGCGUUCGCGCGCUCUCGUCAUCGUACAUCUUGGUGACUCUGAAUAACUUUUUGCUGAUCGCACGGUCUCGCACCGGCGACGCAUCUUUCAAAUGUCUGCCUUAUCAACUGUCGAUGGUAGGUUCUGCGCCUACCAUGGUCGUAACGGGUAACGGGGAAUCAGGGUUCGAUUCCGGAGAGGGAGCCUGAGAAACGGCUACCACAUCCAAGGAAGGCAGCAGGCGCGCAAAUUACCCACUCCCGGCACGGGGAGGUAGUGACGAAAAAUAACGAUACGGGACUCAUCCGAGGCCCCGUAAUCGGAAUGAGCACACUCUAAACACUUUAACGAGGAUCAAUUGGAGGGCAAGUCUGGUGCCAGCAGCCGCGGUAAUUCCAGCUCCAAUAGCGUAUAUUAAAGUUGUUGCGGUUAAAAAGCUCGUAGUCGAAUUUGUGUCCCGCGCCGCCGGUUCAUCGUACGCGGUGUCAACUGGCGUGUUUUUCGCGGGACGUCCUGCCGGUGGGCUUAGCGUCCCCCUAAAAAGGGGCGCGGCCCAACUCAAUCCCGCCGCGGUGCUCUUCACUGAGUGUCGAGGUGGGCCGGCACGUUUACUUUGAACAAAUUAGAGUGCUUAAAGCAGGCUAAAACUUCGCCUGAAUACUGUGUGCAUGGAAUAAUGGGAAUAGGACCUCGGUUCUAUUUUGUUGGUUUUCGGAACCCCGAGGUAAUGAUUAAUAGGAACGGAUGGGGGCAUUCGUAUUGCGACGUUAGAGGUGAAAUUCUUGGAUCGUCGCAAGACGGACAGAAGCGAAAGCAUUUGCCAAAAACGCUUUCAUUGAUCAGA